rnacentral:rRNA from 1 species
UAUACGGCCCAUAUUCCUACGGGAAGCAGCAGUGAGGAAUUUUUCACAAUGGACGAAAGUCUGAUGGAGCAAUACCACGUGAACGAUGAAGGUCUUCUGAUUGUAAAGUUCUUUUAUUUAGGAAAAAAAGCGCGCUAGGAAAUGAGCGCGCCUUGAUGGUACUAAUUGAAUAAGUGACAGCUAACUAUGUGCCAGCAGCUGCGGUAAAACAUAGGUCACAAGCAUUAUCCGGAUUUAUUGGGCGUAAAGGAAGCGUAGGCGGGGAGGCUGAUCCAUUGUUAAAGGCAUUUGCUCAACAAAUGUGUGCGAUGGAGAUCUCCUCCCUAGAGUUAAUCAGGGGGUACUGGAAUUCAAUGUGUAGCGGUGGAAUGCGUAGAUAUAUUGAGGAACACCAGAGGCUAAGGCGAGUACCUGGGAUAUAACUGACGCUGAGGCUUGAAAGCGUGGGGAGCAAAUGGGAUUAGAUACCCCAGUAGUCCACGCCGUAAACGAUGAGCAUUAGGUAUUUGAUGUUAGGUCGAGUGCUGUAGCUAACGCGUUAAAUGCUCCGCCUGGGUAGUAUAUAUGCAAAUAUGAAACUCAAAGAAAUUGACGGGGACCUGAACAAGUGGUGGAG